rnacentral:lncRNA from 1 species
CAGAAGACUAAAGACUGAAGUCUAGUUUCUGUAAUCCGUAGUGGCGGAAUCCAAGCUUGCAUUCAUCACUCAUCAAUUCUUCUUUUCUUUUUUUUUCCUUUUCUUUUCUUUUUUUACUUCAAAUUUGUUGCAAAAUUGCAGAUCAACAUACCGUUCUUCAAAUUAAGCAAAGACCCAUUUCUGAUUCUCGGUCAGGUACUUUUUAAAUUUUAAUUUUUAUCAUAACAUACACAAACACAGGUAUACCGACACCGACUGGCGACUGCAAUAUGUAAAUCUGUAAUAUGCUCAUGAUUUUGAAUUGAGAAAGUGAAACUUAGAGAUUUCGAGGUAAUGGCAUUAGUUGUUUAAUUCUUGUUAAGAUUUUUUUUUGCUUUAUUUAUGUGAAGAAGAUUUUGGGUAUUUUAAUCUUAAAACCCCAAUAAAAACGAAAGUCAUGGAAAGAUUUUCAAGGAAUCAAGGGUUUUCAGUUUCCUAAAAUAAAUGGAAACCAACCUCCGAAUUUGCGAGACCUUAGGAGUUUGUAAAGUGCGAACUCUCUAUGUGCGAACGUGCUGAAGCAGCUCAACCUCUGGUCCUCUGGAUUUCGUCGGAACUUUUGCAGUGGUAGACUAGUAGAGUAAUGGUUUUUGGAGAUUAAUUCCGGAUUGGAGUAGGUUUUAGGGAUAAAUUCUGGAUUGGAAUGUGUUCUCAGGUCUGGAGAGUGGAGAAGGCAAUUGGAAUGCAAUUGGAAAUGGCUGUUCGUUUGCCUCUUUCAUGUGC